AUUGAACGCUGGCGGCAUGCCUUACACAUGCAAGUCGAACGGUAACAGGUCUUCGGAUGCUGACGAGUGGCGAACGGGUGAGUAAUACAUCGGAACGUGCCCGAGAGUGGGGGAUAACGAGGCGAAAGCUUUGCUAAUACCGCAUACGAUCUCAGGAUGAAAGCAGGGGACCGCAAGGCCUUGCGCUCACGGAGCGGCCGAUGGCAGAUUAGGUAGUUGGUGGGAUAAAAGCUUACCAAGCCGACGAUCUGUAGCUGGUCUGAGAGGACGACCAGCCACACUGGGACGGGGAGACGGCCCAGACUCCUACGGGAGGCAGCAGUGGGGAAUUUUGGACAAUGGGCGCAAGCCUGAUCCAGCCAUGCCGCGUGCAGGAUGAAGGCCUUCGGGUUGUAAACUGCUUUUGUACGGAACGAAAAGACUCCUUCUAAUAAAGGGGGUCCAUGACGGUACCGUAAGAAUAAGCACCGGCUAACUACGUGCCAGCCGCCGCCGUAAUAC
rnacentral:rRNA from 1 species